UACGUAGGGUGCGAGCGUUGUCCGGAAUUAUUGGGCGUAAAGAGCUCGUAGGUGGCUUGUCGCGUCUGCCGUGAAAGGCCUGGGCUUAACUCGGGUUUUGCGGUGGAUACGGGCUGGCUAGAGGUAGGUAGGGGAGAACGGAAUUCCUGGUGUAGCGGUGAAAUGCGCAGAUAUCAGGAGGAACACCGGUGGCGAAGGCGGUUCUCUGGGCCUUACCUGACGCUGAGGAGCGAAAGCGUGGGGAGCGAACAGG
rnacentral:rRNA from 1 species